CAUGGCCUUUUGAGUAUAAUUUAAGGUCUGACCUGCCCAAUGAAAUUUAAAUGGCCGCGGUAUUUUGACCGUGCAAAGGUAGCAUAAUCAUUAGUUUUUUAAUUGAAAGCUAGAAUGAAUGGUCGGAUGAAAAAAUAAUUGUCUCUAUUUAAAUUAAUUAGAAUUUUAUUUUUAAGUAAAAAAGCUUAAAUUUAAUUAGAAGACGAGAAGACCCUAUAGAGUUUUAUUAAUUUGUAUUAUAUAAAAUUUUUAGAAUUAUUUUUUUUAUUAAAAUAAAUUAAUUUAAUUGGGGUGAUUAAAAAAUUUAUUUAACUUUUUUUUUAUUUUUACAUUUAUAUAUGAUUGAUUGAUCCUUAUUUAAAGAUUAAAAGAUAAAAUUACCUUAGGGAUAACAGCGUAAUUUUUUUAGAGAGUUCAAAUCGAAAGAAAAGAUUGCGACCUCGAUGUUGGAUUAAAAUAAAAUUUUGGUGUAGAAGCUAAAGUUUUAGGUCUGUUCGACCUUUAAAAUUUUACUUGAUC
rnacentral:rRNA from 1 species